AUUCCUCAUAUCAAUCAGUGAGACAGGAAGAUGUUUUUAAGUGUAUUUUAUAUUUGGGGUCCCUGCUACCCCCAUUUGGUCCAAGACCUCUGGAACCCUGUGCUGUGAGUUUUUGUGUUGGUCCAGUGAAGUUUCCUACAGAACCUGGGAGUUGUUAGCAGCCCCUCGCUGCAGAGGUCAAAGGAGCUGCAGCAGAGAGGUUGUCAGGGUUCGAGCACUUUCCCACGUCUGGCCUGGCCCUGUGGGGCUGCCUGGGUCGGAUUUGGCAUCUGGGCACUGAGUCCCCCGUGUCUCAGCUGCCCUCCAGCUUCAGCGGGCCCAGUGAUGGAGACACAGGGGAGCCCCGCCCUCUGACACCCUCUCCCUGCCACGCAGCCGCUGCAGCUCCUGGGCCAGCUGUGCCAGGCGCAGGGCAUCCCUUUCCCGCCCAUCUCCCCCAGCCCUGAGGAGCAGCGCCAGCCUCACGAGUGCCACUUGUUUCUGGACCCAGCCUGCCCCGACGCCCCGGCUGUGCUGCACUUCCCUCUGGUGGAUGGCUCCUUCCGCGAGUACCGGGCCCCUGGCAUCCCGCGCCCCCCUGAGGAGAAGGCGGCCGGGGAGGUGAACCUGUCUUCCUCCGACUCCCCCUACCACUACUCGAAGCUGACCUACAGCCCGGAGGACACGGACAAGCUGCUCCGCCUGACCCAUUACAACAUCUGCAACAACCGGGAGCGGCUGCUGGAGGCGCUGCGGGGCGCCGUGCAGCGGAGGCGCAGGCGGCACCAGCCCCAGUGAGGGCGUGGGGCUCCCCUGCCGCCCGCCACACUCACCCCCAGAAGCUCCAGGCGAACAGGGCGAGUUUCCUCCCCCCGCGUUCCGGAGCCCCCAGCAAUCUCGCCACAUCCACAUGCGGGGACCUUGAGCAUCUUAAAAGCAAGGAGAACAUUCAGGGGGCUCUGGGGUCGCUGAGGUAGGCCCGGGGGACGAGGGCUUGAGCCCAAAGCAGUCUUGACCCUAUUUGCAGAAGCGCUCAAAGCCACGUGCCCUUCCCCGUUGCUACCUUGAGUAACUGUACCGAGUGAAAUAGAGCGGUUUAUGUAUCA